CAAAAAUAAAAAAACAAAAAAACAAACAAACGUGGCAUAAAAUUCAAAGUCACAGAAAACAAAGCAGAUGAGAUCUCUCAACGGCAUCAACUGAAACGGUACAACCUAGACUCGUUUUUUAAAAUUCUUCUUCAAAUGUUCCACGUCAAACACGUGAAAACGCCAUUUCCUCGCUCCACGUGUCACACAACUAACGCAUGCCCACUUGUUACGUAAAAUCUCUCACUCCCAAUAUAAACGUUACAUAACAAACAUCCUCAAAGGAAAUCAAAAACAUUAGCAAAGUAGCUCCAACAACCAUAAAAAAACCUCUCACCAAACUUCCUUUCCCUUUGCUUGUGUGUUAGUUUUCUUGAAAUUCCGCUAUUUGCAUCUAAAUUUUUGUACACUUAAAUGAUGGAUUUAUCUUAUAUUGGCUACAAUAUGGGAUCGAUGUCGCCCGAGCAGGGCGACUCGUCCUCAGCCGAGGAGGUGGAAUCGCCGCGGUCUGUGGUGACCGCGGCGGCUUCAGGGAGAAAAAAUAGUGGAGUAGAGAGGUGGAGGCGGUGGCGGAAAAGCCGCGGUAUGGAUCGAAAUCAUGAUCAUAAGGAGGAGAAGUGUUAUUUGCAUAGUCAGGUGUUGAGGAUUAAGGAAGAGGAGUUGCAAAUCGGGGAGUAUUUAGUGGGUGAUUUUGCGAUUUAUAAGAUUGAAUAUGAGCAUGAUUUGUAUGAUCCAAUUGAAGAUGUUUGGUCUAGGACGACGGUUUUGCCUGCUUCGCCUCUUGGAAGUAAGAAGAAUUAUUAGGGAGAUUAGUGAACGCUUUUCGAUUUAGUUUCAGAAUAGAACAUCAGGAUGAAGAUGAUCAUGGUAUGCUGGUAGCAAGAGGACAAAAAAGAAGUAAACGCAAGAAAAUCUUCCUUGAUCUCAAAACUUUUUUCUGUUUCUUCAUGAGUGCACAUAUAUAUAUAUAUAUAUAUAUAUAUAUAUAUAUAUAUAUAUCAUAUCUUAGAGAGAGAUCUUUGGUAGCCACUUGUACAGUGAAUUCCCAUGAAGAACAAUGCAAAGGUGAUUGCUGUCGUAGUCCCAUGUAUGAUUCACCCCAUUUUGGUUAUAUAUCAUUAUCUAAAUUCUAAAGA